rnacentral:misc_RNA from 1 species
AAAAGUCGUAACAAGGUUUCCGUAGGUGAACCUGCGGAAGGAUCAUUACAAAUCAUCGUGGAUGGGUGCUGGUCAUGUAAUAGUGGCCAGUAUUCCUGAAACACAUUUGCACAGAGCGCGUGCGUAAGAUUCAUCUUGCGCAUGUUGCUUUGAUGUUUACGCUUGUUUGUUUGACAGAGUUAUGGUAACAUGAAAUAUAGACAACUUUUAACAAUGGAUCUCUUGGCUCUU